rnacentral:lncRNA from 1 species
CAGAAAGCCAAUCACUGAGACAGUGAGUAUUGCCAGGCAAGAAGGCUUUAAUCAGGUGCUGCGGCCCAGGAGUUGGGAAAUCAGUCUCAAAUCAACUGCCUGAGUGACUAAAAUUAAGGCUUUAUAUAGCAGAGAAGAAAUGUAACCAUGCAUGGAAGAACAAGAGUUAGGGAGGAGCAAAGAAGAGGAGUCAGUCAACAGGAAGCAGGUAGUGGGUUAGGCAAUCAUGACAAAAGAGUGGUUUCACCUCCCAUUGCCCAGAUGCUGUGAUUUGUGGGAUGCAGCUGAUGCCCUGUCCAGAUCUUCUUCAGGCCACUACAUCUAUAUAUGCAUUCAUAUUCCAGUGGCUGUGAGUGUUGGCUGUUGGUUGACAGAGGAGCUGCAUCCUCCUGGAGGAAACUGAACUCAGCUGAUGAAAGCCACCUGGUCCUGGAGGUGAAGCAUCUUCCAAAUGACAGCCUGCAGUCAAUGACUGAUGAAUAUGACUUCAUUGCCUCAUGACAGGACCUACUCUGGGGUAUAGAUCAUGCUUCUAAGCUCCUCCUGGGGUCCUGCUGAGGCUCAAUGCCAGCUGAAACCAUACCCUUGCUCACAUACUUUCCCUUCUCUUUCCUUCUUCCCUUGCUUCCUUAGAGAUUCCUCCUGCAAUGGCUUCCUCAAAAAAGCAUUUUCAUAAGCAACCUCAUGUCAGCCUCUGCUUCCACAGAAGCCAAUCUGAGUUAAGCAGCUGUUUAACUUAGCAUGUCCAACAUAAAAUUCUUGUUUUCUUCUCAUCCCCUGCCCCUGAACGUUCUCCUUUGCCUGUCUUUCUUAUCUCAUUGAAAGUAACAACACAAGUAUCAAGUGAAAAUAAAAGAAUCUUCUCUGAUUUCUUUCUUUCUAAUGUAUUAUUAAAUUCUACUGAUAUUACCAAUAUCUAUUCAAAUACCAACCUAGUCUAAGAUACUAUCAUCUGUCUUCUAGACUUCAACUGGGUUCCUAACACUGAUGGUAUUACACAAUUUUUGCAAUGAAGUCUUACCCACCUAUAAUCCAUUUUCCAUAAAGCAGCAUUAUCAUUUUCUAAGUCACACACUGUAGUUUUAAUACAAUCCCAAACUAACAAGCUUGAAGAAAUAAAAUUAUUGUUAAAAUUGUAAAAAUUACGGAGUCUUAUAUUUAACUAAUCAUGGUACCUUUCCUCAAUAUCAAUUAUACCAAACACUUCCAAUGCAUAAAUUCACUAAAUUACUUGUCUCUGAAUAGUAAUAAUUAUUGUAAAACUCAAUUAAAAUGGUGUUUCUAUCUAAGUCAUUUCCAAAUGACGAGUUGAUGGGUGCAGCAAACCAACAUGGAACAUGUAUACCUAUGUAACAAACCUGCACGUUGUGCACAUGUACACCAGAACUUAAAGUAUAAUAAUAAAAAAUAAAGUAUUACAGAACAUGGUCAAUUAUAUUAAAAAGUAGAUUAAUUAAUGUCCAUAUAUACAUUUUUUGGUGGAA